CUUUCCAAUAGGCCUGGCCACGCUCUCUUCUGUCCCUCCCCUCUCCCUUCUAAUAAAACUCUGCUCUGAUAACGGGUUUUGUCGUGCCUCACACAGUGACAGCGCCACUUACUAAACCAACAUUGGUGCUGUGACGAAGCAGGCUCUCCCAGCGCUCUGCGUCUGGAACCCUGUGUCGAGGUUUUGCUCCAUCUGCCCACUUUUUUCAUUUGCCCAGCUGCCGGACUGCGACGUACAACACACUGGCUGCCCAGAUUGGGGUACCUGAUGGGAAGAGAGUUUCCAGCUAAGGGACACAGACAGGGCCCUGCUCUCUCUCUCAAGUUCCAGAGGACCUCAGGAUCCACUGCCUUGUCACCAAUUCCAGAAGAAUGAGGUCUCACCCCACAAGCUUUUCUCUUCCUGGUUCCCUCUUCUAAUUAACUACUCAGCUAAUUGUUACAAGAUCACCAUAGAGCUGGAGUCCAAGGACCAUCAGGUAUAUACCCAGGUGGUAAGGAACACUAACAGUCCAGAGGUAUUUAAUAUUACUCUGUUAUAUUAAAGUCUGUAUUUUGCAAUCUAUUAAAUGCCCUCAGCAAUUGAUCACCUGUGUCUCCUGGAUGCCAAACUAAUAAAGGAAGCGGGUGCCUUAAAAUAAUCUGUCUCUGAUAAAGCUUAUCUCAGGUAAAAUUAAAAACAUGUUCCAUCUCUCUCUCUCUCUCUCUCUCUCUCUCUCUCUCUCUGUCUCUCUCUCACACACACACACACACACACACACACACACACACACACACAAAUCAAUAUAAGCAGAGUACUAAACACUACAAUGUCAUGGUCACCAGCCCAAGACUUUUAAUUUUCUCGUGGCUGCUUCUUAAUGUUUAAAAUUUUUUCCUAAGCUCCAGAAACCAGCUUGAAUCCAUAUGGACAAGUCAGAUCUGCUUCAGAUAAGUGCAACCCAAACUUUCCUGGUCCCGGGAUUCCCUCACCCCCACCCUCCCAUCCCACCCCACCCCCACAAAGGAAAAAAUAAAAAUAAUAAUAAUUCUUUUUUCUAAGCUUUUCUCUGUCUCACCAGCCCCUCUCAGAUACAGGCAGCCAGAGUCCCAGGCCAAGAGGGAUGAUGGACAGGUCUAAGGCAGCACACGACAGCCCAUCAUCCCAGGACGCCUGUCUACCUCAGAAGCCCCCUUCCCUACACCCCCCCCCCCCCAGGAGUCAACCGAUGUCCACCAAGUCAGCUGGAAGCAGUUUUCAGGAAACACGACACCCCAUACCCGCCCACCUGCCUCUUUUAUAAGCAAAAAGUCUGAAAUGUUAAGAUUCCAGCCACUCCUCCAGCUCUAUGACCGCACAUGCGCAGUUCAGUAGCCAAGCAAGGGGUCUUAUGUCAUAUCAUCCGUGCACUGCGCACAACAAGGUCAUGCAAUCUGUGCAUGCAUGUGAUAGCUCCGUAAACGUACAUGCACAGGGGAAUAUUUAAAAAGCCAGUCACAGAUUCCUGCCCCCUCUCCCUUCUCCUCACGUGUCUUUCCAACAGGCCUGGCCAUGCUCUCUUCUUCCCCUCCCCACCCCAAUAAAGCUCUGAUACUGGGUUUUGUCAUGCCUCAUGACCUUUCUCGCACGGUAACAACGCUGCCUAUAAAACCAACAGGGUACUUCUUUUGGUAUGAGAUGCCUACAUUUUGUUUUGAACAACUAUGGAACAGCAGUUACACUAACAGCCAAUGGAACAGUACAAGUGAUACUGUACUGUACUGUUAGCCAACUUUAGUAAGUACAGAAAUAUCAAUCUCAAAACACUUCACAGGAAUGCUAUUUCUGUUUGGAGACACCAGUCAGAGGCAUGCCAGUGAGAAACUGAACUGACACAAAGCCUAGAACACACUUCUGGCUUCACACCAGUGAGAACCCAGACUGACACAAACAAAACCUAGAACACGCUCUGGCUUCACACCAGUGAGAACCCAGACUGACACAAACAAAACCUGGAACACGCUCUGGCUUCACACCAGUGAGAACCCAGACUGACACAAACAAAGCCUGGAACACGCUCUGGCUUCACACCAGUGAGAACCCAGACUGACACAAACAAAGCCUGGAACACGCACACGUCUGGCACAGAAGGGGCAACUCAUUUCUUGGAGAAGUAUAAAAGCACAGAGUAAGGAAGUGGGGCAAGAACAAAACUGGGACA